rnacentral:rRNA from 1 species
CAGUCGCCGCGGUAAUACGGAGGGUGCAAGCGUUAAUCGGAAUUACUGGGCGUAAAGCGCACGCAGGCGGUCUGACAAGUCAGAUGUGAAAUCCCCGGGCUUAACCUGGGAACUGCAUUUGAAACUGUCAUGCUGGAGUCUUGUAGAGGGGGGUAGAAUUCCAGGUGUAGCGGUGAAAUGCGUAGAGAUCUGGAGGAAUACCGGUGGCGAAGGCGGCCCCCUGGACAAAGACUGACGCUCAGGUGCGAAAGCGUGGGGAGCAAACAGGAUUAGAUACCCCAGUAGUCCCUGUCUCUUAUAC